rnacentral:rRNA from 1 species
UACGGAGGGUGCGAGCGUUGUCCGGAAUCACUGGGCGUAAAGGGCGCGUAGGUGGCCCGUUAAGUGGCUGGUGAAAUCCCGCGGCUCAACUGCGGGGCUGCCGGUCAUACUGGCGAGCUAGAGCACGGUAGGGGCAGAUGGAAUUCCCGGUGUAGCGGUGGAAUGCGUAGAGAUCGGGAAGAAUACCGGUGGCGAAGGCGGGUCUCUGGGCCGUAACUGACGCUGAGGAGCGAAAGCGUGGGGAGCGAACAGG